rnacentral:rRNA from 1 species
AGUGAACGCUGGCGGUAGGCCUAACACAUGCAAGUCGAACGGCAGCACAGUAAGAGCUUGCUCUUACGGGUGGCGAGUGGCGGACGGGUGAGGAAUACAUCGGACUCUACUUUUUCGUGGGGGAUAACGUAGGGAAACUUACGCUAAUACCGCAUACGACCUACGGGUGAAAGCAGGGGAUCUUCGGACCUUGCGCGAUUGAAUGAGCCGAUGUCGGAUUAGCUAGUUGGCGGGGUAAAGGCCCACCAAGGCGACGAUCCGUAGCCGGUCUGAGAGGAUGAUCAGCCACACUGGAACUGAGACACGGUCCAGGCUCCUACGGGAGGCAGCAGUGUGGAAUGUUGGACAACGGGCGCAAGCCUGAUCCAGCCAUCCCGCGUGGGUGACGACGGCCUUCGGGUUGUAAAGCCCUUUUGUUGGUAAAGAAAAGCAGCAGGUUAAGACCCCGCGGUUCUGACGGUACCGAAAGAAGAAGCACCGGCUAACUUCGUG